CAAGGGCAACCGGCGAACGGGUGCGUAACACGUGAGCAACCUACCGAAAUGUGGGGGAUAGCCGGCCUAACGGCCGAGUAAUACCGCAUACGCUCUCGAUGAGGCAUUUCAUUGAGAGGAAACCUACGGGACAUUUCGAGGGGCUCGCGGCCUAUCAGCUAGUUGGAGAGGUAACGGCUCACCAAGGCAACGACGGGUAGCUGGUCUGAGAGGAUGGCCAGCCACAUUGGGACUGAGAUACGGCCCAGACUCCUACGGGAGGCAGCAGUGGGGAAUCUUGCGCAAUGGCCUAACGGCUGACGCAGCGACGCCGCGUGUGGGAUGAAGCUCUUCGGAGUGUAAACCACUGUUGCCCGGGACGAAUAGCUCGAUUAAUCGAGCCUGACGGUACCGGGUGAGGAAGCACCGGCUAACUCCGUGCCAGCAGCCGCGGUAAUACGGGGGGUGCGAGCGUUGUCCGGAAUCACUGGGCGUAAAGGGCGCGUAGGUGGUUUGAUAAGGGUGUGGUGAAAGCCCGGAGCUCAACUCCGGGUCUGCCGUGCCGACUGUCAAACUCGAGGACUGUAGAGGCAGACGGAAUUCCGGGUGUAGCGGUGGAAUGCGUAGAGAUCCGGAGGAAGACCGGUGGCGAAGGCGGUCUGCUGGGCAGUUUCUGACACUGAGGCGCGACAGCGUGGGGAGCAAACAGGAUUAGAUACCCUGGUAGUCCACGCCGUAAACGAUGGGUACUAGGUGCCUGGGGGAGCGACCCUCUGGGUGCCGGCGCUAACGCAGGAAGUACCCCGCCUGGGGAGUACGACCGCAAGGUUGAAACUCAAAGGAAUUGACGG
rnacentral:rRNA from 1 species